rnacentral:rRNA from 1 species
GACGAAGGAUGCAAGCGUUAUCCGGAUUCACUGGGUUUAAAGGGUGCGUAGGAGGGCAGGUAAGUCAGUGGUGAAAUCUCCAAGCUUAACUUGGAAACUGCCGUUGAUACUAUCUGUCUUGAAUACCGUGGAGGUGAGCGGAAUAUGUCAUGUAGCGGUGAAAUGCUUAGAUAUGACAUAGAACACCAAUUGCGAAGGCAGCUCGCUACACGAAUAUUGACUCUGAGGCACGAAAGCGUGGGGAUCAAACAGG